GGGAAGGAUGCUCUACUGUAAGCUGUGCAAAUACUCCAGAAAGAGCGGCAGCUGUGGAUAGUUCAGUGAAGUCGAGGACGUAUGAGAAUUUGUUCAAUGGACAGGUGUUCCAAAAGACAGGAUAGAAUGUCUGCCCUGUAUUCCUAAUGCUGAGUGCAUUGCUGGAGGAGGUGAGCGUGAGGAACAUAGUCAGAGUGACAUCUUCACAAGCGGCCUGGGGAGCAGGCUCCUCUGCCCACCCUGAAGGAUUCCUUACCCUCCCGUGGCAUCUACAGAACUAGCAGAGGUGGAGCCCAGAGCGAAUGCACCAGAUGGGAGUUUAUACGGCUGCGACACCAAUUUUAGGCAUGUGAUUCCUUCUGGACUAGAAGGGGAGAUGGGACAAAAGCAAGGACAGGCUUGGGGACUUCAGGUAUAGACGUGACACUUGCCUUCUGAGGACAGAUGUGUACACAGUAUAUCCUUGCAGUUUUUCUUAAUUAUGAAGUGUUUCGAUGAGAAGGUUUAAGAUGAAGUACACUUACUUAUCUUUGACCAACGGAUCCCUACAUAGGCCUGGAGGUGGA